rnacentral:rRNA from 1 species
GACGAACGCUGGCGGCGUGCUUAACACAUGCAAGUCGAACGGAAAGGCCCUGCUUUUGUGGGGUGCUCGAGUGGGGAACGGGUGUGUAACACGGGAGUAACCCGCCCUUGACUUUGGGAUAACUUCAGGAAACUGGGGCUAAUACCGGAUAGGAGCUCCUGCUGCAUGGUGGGGGUUGGAAAGUUUCGGCGGUUGGGGGUGGACUUGCGGGUUACCAGCUUGUUGGUGGGGGAGUGGCUUACCAAGGCUUUGGUGGAUAGCCGGCCUGAGAGGGGGACCGGCCACAUGAGGACUGAGGUACGGCCCAGACGCCUACGGGAGGCAGCAGUGGAGAAUAUGGCACAGUGGGCGGGAGCCUGAUGCGGCGGCGCCGCGUGCGGAAUGACGGCCUUCGGGUUGUAAACCGCUUUCGCCUGUGACGAAGCGGGAGUGACGGUAAUGAGUAAAGAAGCACCGGCUAACUACGUG